CCACUUUUCGUUAUUAGGUUAUUUAUUAUUUUAUCUUAAUUAUUAUUAUGCUAUAUGGUAAUUUGAUGAAUUAUGUGAUUAUAAUUUAAAUCUCAUGUGAUAUAGAAUAAGAUUUAGAUAAAUAAGUUUGUUAGGUUUUUGUGUGAGUAAUUGAGAGUGGGGCCCAUUAGUAUGACUAUUUAAGGGAUAUGAGUGAAUUAGAAAGAGAGAAAUCAGAAUUUGAGAAUUGGAGAAGUUAGCAGAGGAGAAGAAAAGAAGCGUGAAAGAGAGAAGGGGAGAAAAGAGAAGAAAAAAACCUAGAAUUUGAUCUUCAAGAGGUACAGGAGGUAGAGAUGUGGCUCAUGAGGAGUAGCUUCGGAGAGUCUUAGCUUAUGUUAUUAUUAUUAUUAUUAUUAUAAAAUAAGUGUCUUGCUCUGUAAUGUAACACUGGUUAGAUAUUUUACGUUACUUUUACAUUUAUGUUGAGAGGAUUUUAUAAUCUCUUCUUAUGGAAGUUGUUGAAUAAUUUUCUAAAUGAUGGCGAUGUCGUACUGUUGACGGCCGAAGUGCUUAUGAAAUUCAGUUCUGAGUA